rnacentral:lncRNA from 1 species
AACAUUAAUUAAAUCAAAAUAUAUAAUAAUAAUAAUAAUAAUAAUAAUAAUAAUAAAUUUUAAUUUUUUUUAAUCAAUAAUUCUUCACAAAAAAUUAAAAAUUUCAAAAUAAAAAAUAAAAAAAUAAAUUAUCAGAUAUUUAUACUAUCUAAUAACCGAUGUGUCUUUAAGAAACUUAACCUUACUUAGAUGUCGUUUGGUUGCAUGUAGUUACAACUGUACUGCAGUUGUAACUGUUUGCAAAUAUAAAUUCGGUAUUUGAUUUGAUAUAUUUAACUCUAACACUUUCAAUAGAAAUUACAAAAGGAAGCUCAACUGCAGCCGUUGGAACUACGUCCAAAUUGGCCGUAGUUGCAACAGUAGGAAAGAGUAACUUUAAACAAAAAAUAUACUUACCUUCUUAAUUAUUUUUAAAUAAAA